GAUGAACGCUGGCGGCGUGCCUAAUACAUGCAAGUCGAGCGGACGGACGAGAAGCUUGCUUCUCUGAUGUUAGCGGCGGACGUGUGAAUAACACGUGUAUCCCCCCCCUAUCUGACUGGUAUAACUUCGGGAAACCGUCGCUAAUACCGUAUAAUAUUUUGCACCGCAUUGUUCAAAAGAGAAUGACGGUCUUGCUGUCACUUCUCGAUGCUUCCGCGCUGCAUUAGCUAGUUGGUAAGGUAACGGCCUACCAAGGCAACGAGGCAUGAACGACCUGAGGGAGUGAUCGGCCACACGGGAGGUGAGACGCGGACCAGGCUCCUACGGGAGGCAGCAGUAGGGAAUCUGAGGCAGUAGGCGAAAGCAUGACGGAGCAGCGCCGAGUGAGAUGUGAAGGUCUUGGGAUCGUAAAGCUCUGUUACUAGGGGAAAACAUAUGUGGAAGGAACUGUGGCGAGCUUGACGGUACCUAAUCAGAAAGCACCGGCUAACUACGUG
rnacentral:rRNA from 1 species